rnacentral:rRNA from 1 species
CCAUCCUGAAGAUUGAAGCUUGCAUUCAUGAUUCAGAUUUUGGUGAGUGGCGGACGGGUGAGUAACACGUGGGUAACCUGCCCAAAAGUGGGGGAUAACAUUUGGAAACAAGUGCUAAUACCGCAUAACAACUACUUUCACAUGAUCGUAGCUUGAAAGAUGGCUCUGCUAUCGCUUUUGGAUGGACCCGCGGCGUAUUAGCUAGUUGGUGAGGUAAUGGCUCACCAAGGCAAUGAUACGUAGCCGACCUGAGAGGGUAAUCGGCCACAUUGGGACUGAGACACGGCCCAAACUCCUACGGGAGGCAGCAGUAGGGAAUCUUCCACAAUGGGCGAAAGCCUGAUGGAGCAAUGCCGCGUGAGUGAAGAAGGUUUUCGGAUCGUAAAACUCUGUUGUUGAAGAAGAACAUGCGUGAGAGUAACUGUUCACGUACUGACGGUAUUCAACCAGAAAGCCACGGCUAACUACGUGCCAGCAGCCGCGGUAAUACGUAGGUGGCAAGCGUUGUCCGGAUUUAUUGGGCGUAAAGAGAAUGUAGGCGGUUUAUUAAGUUUGAAGUGAAAGCCCUCGGCUCAACCGAGGAAGUGCUUCGAAAACUGGUAAACUUGAGUGCAGAAGAGGAAAGUGGAACUCCAUGUGUAGCGGUGGAAUGCGUAGAUAUAUGGAAGAACACCAGUGGCGAAGGCGGCUUUCUGGUCUGUAACUGACGCUGAGAUUCGAAAGCAUGGGUAGCAAACAGGAUUAGAUACCCUGGUAGUCCAUGCCGUAAACGAUGAGUGCUAAGUGUUGGAGGGUUUCCGCCCUUCAGUGCUGCAGCUAACGCAUUAAGCACUCCGCCUGGGGAGUACGACCGCAAGGUUGAAACUCAAAGGAAUUGACGGGGGCCCGCACAAGCGGUGGAGCAUGUGGUUUAAUUCGAAGCAACGCGAAGAACCUUACCAGGUCUUGACAUACCAUGAAAAAGCUAAGAAGAUUAGUCUUUCCCUUCGGGGACAUGGAUACAGGUGGGUGCAUGGGUUGUCGUCAGCUCCGUGUCGUGAGAAUGUUGGG